CUUCCGUAGGUGAACCUGCGGAAGGAUCAUUACAGAGUUCAUGCCCGAAAGGGUAGACCUCCCACCCUUGUGUAUUAUUACUUUGUUGCUUUGGCGAGCUGCCUUCGGGCCUUGUAUGCUCGCCAGAGAAUACCAAAACUCUUUUUAUUAAUGUCGUCUGAGUACUAUAUAAUAGUUAAAACUUUCAACAACGGAUCUCUUGGUUCUGGCAUCGAUGAAGAACGCAGCGAAAUGCGAUAAGUAAUGUGAAUUGCAGAAUUCAGUGAAUCAUCGAAUCUUUGAACGCACAUUGCGCCCCUUGGUAUUCCGGGGGGCAUGCCUGUUCGAGCGUCAUUUCAACCCUCAAGCUUAGCUUGGUAUUGAGUCUAUGUCAGUAAUGGCAGGCUCUAAAAUCAGUGGCGGCGCCGCUGGGUCCUGAACGUAGUAAUAUCUCUCGUUACAGGUUCUCGGUGUGCUUCUGCCAAAACCCAAAUUUUUCUAUGGUUGACCUCGGAUCAGGUAGGAUGCCC
rnacentral:rRNA from 1 species